CUACGGAGGGUGCAAGCGUUACUCGGAAUCACUGGGCGUAAAGCGCGCGCAGGCGGCUAUUUAAGUUGGAUGUGAAAGCCUAUGGCUCAACCAUAGAACUGCAUCCAAAACUAUUUAGCUAGAGUGUGGGAGAGGAAGAUGGAAUUAGUUGUGUAGGGGUAAAAUCCGUAGAGAUAACUAGGAAUACCAAAAGCGAAGGCAAUCUUCUGGAACACUACUGACGCUGAGGCGCGAAAGCGAGGGGAGCAAACAGGAUUAGAUACCCUAGUAGUCC
rnacentral:rRNA from 1 species